UUGAUUGAUGCUAGCGUGCCACUAGUUUUGUGAUUGGUGGUUAGCAUUUUAUUUCUUAGUUUACUAUUCUUUGCUAACAUAUUAUGAACCUAUGUUUUGAUAAUGUUGAAAUAGCUAAGUAAAUAUCAGGUAUAUUAUAUAAUAUGAAAAUCAUUAGAUUAAGUUACUUGAAGGAAUAUAAACUUUGCCUUACAUUUGAAAUUUGAGACUAAUGAAACUUGAUAAAUUAGUUGGUAUUAGAGUUAAGGAAUUUGAAUAUUUAUUUGGGUGAGAUUUUGGGUAGACUAGACAUAUAGUAAUAUGGUUGCCAAUGGACUCGUUAACUUACAGAUAUCAUACAUUUGAUACAUAAAUAUUCAGGGGCAUUCAAGAAAGGAAGAACAUUGGAGAAGUAGUUUGCUUCAUUUCAGUUCAUUGGUGGAGGUGGCAAGUGAGGAUUCUCCUACAAAUUCAAGCUUGGGAAAUAACAUUCUCUCAACAAGUUUGUUGUUGGUAGGUGAGAAGCAUUUGGCAAGCAAGACUUGGAUCGUAGCAUCAUUCAAGUGAAGUUGAAGUUAUGGAUGCUUAAAGGAGGUCUCUAAGGUGAAGAACUUGAUGUUUGAUUCCCAAGCUCAAUGAAAGAAAUUCUUAUGUUCCAAAGAUUUCCUAUGUCAAGUUUAUAUUCAAUAUGGUGUAAUAGCUUAUAUGUUAUGUUGUGUUUCUAGCAUAUGAUAUACUAUGAAGAGUUUUAAAUUUUUCCCUAAAUUUAUUAUGACAAUGCCAUGAAUUGUAACUAUGGGCUUGUAUAAGACCUCCGAGAGGUAAAGUACGACAUGUUACUUCUAGGGCGUGCUCCACGGUCGUAACAGAGUGUAUCAACAAUUUUGACUUGCCCUUAGCUGUA